AUUAUUUAUUUUCUAAAUGUGUGAAUUUAUUAUUUAGUAAUUGUGUGAAUUUUAUCUCAAUGAAUUAUUUAUUGUUCUUAUUUUGUUUACUCUAUUUUCAUUGCUUUCCUUGUAUAUGCGUUAUUUUAUCCUUUCACUUCUGCUCCUCCCGGGCUUCCAUAGUUGCCCCCAGCUCUGGUAGCUCUCCCUCUCUUUGCCACACAAGGUGGUUGGCAUUGAUGAGGGGUGCAGAAGUGGAGAGGAAAGAGACUAUUGUCAUUCUUUUGUCCUUCAGGACUCAGAAGAGCCUUUGAAGAGCAGCAGGCAAGAACGCUCGACACAGAUCACAGCAUAGUAAAUCGUGUUGAAACGGGAUCCGUCAUUCCUCCUGAUGUACAACAAUAGGGCAGGGGUCUCCAACUAAAAUUGAGUAAGGUCCGUUUCAUAUUUUUUUUCACAGUGGAGAUCUGAACCGUAUUUUGCCUUAAAUUGUGUCGACAGACUAACUCAUAUGAAUAUCAUAUGUAACUAGAUGAUAAAAUAUCAGCAGACAUUGCAUGUCAAUGCUGAAAAGCUGAAGCAAAACAAACUCUUUGAAAAGGUGUGAAAAUUAAAAUUUUGAAUGAAAUGGGAGACCAAAGCUGGACUUAAAGAGGCUAAAACGUAGAAUGAAAUUAAGAGGUAUUUGGAUUGAAUGUGAAUUGAACCCACCAUCUCUGGGUGUGGAUCCAAGCACUCUAACAGCUGGACUAUACAGCUUUUCCUAAUUUGCCACAAUUAGGGUAACAGCGGUAUGCCAAAUAAGUCUAGUGUGAUAUCCCAUCAUGCUUUGUGGCACUGCUCUUUUCUUUGUUAAUAUUAUGUAUUUAAUGUUGUGUAUUUUUUUUGGUCUUU